GACGAACGCUGGCGGCGUGCUUAACACAUGCAAGUCGAACGGACAGGCCCUGCUUUUGUGGGGUGCUCGAGUGGCGAACGGGUGAGUAACACGUGAGUAACCUGCCCCUGACUUUGGGAUAACUUCAGGAAACUGGGGCUAAUACCGGAUAUGAGCUCCUGCAGCAUGGUGGGGGAUGGUAAGUUUCGGCGGUUGGGGCAGGUCUCGCAGCUUAUCAGCUUGUUGGUGGGGUAGUGGCUUACCAAGGCUUUGACGGGUAGCCGGCCUGAGAGGGUGACCGGCCACAUUGGGACUGAGAUACGGCGCAGACGCCUACGGGAGGCAGCAGUGGGGAAUAUUGCACAAUGGGCGGAAGCCUGAUGCAGCAACGCCGCGAGCGGGAUGAUGGCCUUCGGGUUGUAAACCACUUUCGCCUGUGACAAAGCGUGAGUGACGGUAAUGGGUAAAGAAGCACCGGCUAACUACGUG
rnacentral:rRNA from 1 species